GUUAUAUUCUCUCCGUCCUGAAAUAUUUGUUGAAAGAAUGCAUAAAAAUGAAUGUAUGUAGAACUAAAAUAUGUCUAGAUAUAUUCAUUCCUCCGACAAAUAUUUUCGAACGGAGGAAGUAUUUA
rfam:Triticum aestivum genome assembly, contig: Triticum_aestivum_CS42_TGACv1_scaffold_320799_4BL